GGAGGAUGCGAGCGUUAUCCGGAUUUAUUGGGUUUAAAGGGAGCGCAGACGGGAGAUUAAGUCAGUUGUGAAAGUUUGCGGCUCAACCGUAAAAUUGCAGUUGAUACUGUCAGUCUUGAGUACAGUAGAGGUGGGCGGAAUUCGUGGUGUAGCGGUGAAAUGCUUAGAUAUCACGAAGAACUCCGAUUGCGAAGGCAGCUCACUGGACUGCAACUGACACUGAUGCUCGAAAGUGUGGGUAUCAAACAGGAUUAGAUACCCUGGUAGUCCACACAGUAAACGAUGAAUACUCGCUGUUUGCGAUAUACAAUAAGCGGCCAAGCGAAAGCAUUAAGUAUCCCACCUGGGGAGU
rnacentral:rRNA from 1 species